AACUAGGGUUUCCAUCGUGAGUGAAACAGGCCAGGCAGCUCGUCCGCUCUGUGUGCGGAAACGACAUCAUGAGAUUUCAGAACAAUAACUUUUUGGUAAUUGGACAGAUGGUGAUCAUUGGUCCUGGUGCCCUG
ensembl:snRNA